CACGUAGGGGGCAAGCGUUGUCCGGAUUUAUUGGGCGUAAAGAGCUCGUAGGCGGUUCGGUAAGUCGGGUGUGAAACCUCCAGGCUCAACCUGGAGACGCCACCCGAUACUGCUGUGACUCGAGUCCGGUAGGGGAGCGUGGAAUUCCUGGUGUAGCGGUGAAAUGCGCAGAUAUCAGGAGGAACACCAAUGGCGAAGGCAGCACUCUGGGACGUGACUGACGCUGAGACGCGAAAGCGUGGGGAGCAAACAGG
rnacentral:rRNA from 1 species